rnacentral:rRNA from 1 species
CUAACUACGUGCCAGCAGCCGCGGUAAUACGUAGGUGGCAAGCGUUGUCCGGAUUUAUUGGGUUUAAAGGGUGCGUAGGUUGUGUUGUAAGUCAGUGGUGAAAUCCGGCAGCUUAACUGUCGAUGUGCCAUUGAUACUGCAGCACUUGAGUACAGACGAGGUAGGCGGAAUUGACGGUGUAGCGGUGAAAUGCUUAGAUAUCGUCAAGAACACCGAUAGCGAAGGCAGCUUACUAGACUGUAACUGACACUGAUGCACGAAAGUGUGGGGAUCAAACAGGAUUAGAUACCCUGGUAGUCCACACUGUAAACGAUGAUUACUCGAUGUUGGCGAUACACAGCCAGCGUCUUAGCGAAAGCGAUAAGUAAUCCACCUGGGGAGUACGCCCGCAAGGGUGAAACUCAAAGGAAUUGACGGGGG